GGCACAAAGAAAAGCAGAAGUGGAAGCCAUGGAGACUUGACCCUCCUCCUUGAGGGGACUGAAGCCUCGGGUUCCCCUGGGGCCUGGUGCGGCAGUCGGUGAUGUCCGUGCUGGAGCCAUGACCCAGCAGGGCAGGGCUGCGUGGCUGCCUUCAGCUCUGCUGCUUCUCUGGGUCCCAGGCUCUUUGUCUCUGAGGGGCCCCAGGACCGUGACAGGCACCGUGGGGGGAUCCCUGAGCUUGCAGUGUCGGUACGAGAAGGAAUACACAGAUAAUAACAAAUACUGGUACAAAAAGUCAUAUUUUCCACCAUGGAAGAAGAAGAUUGUGGAGACCACAGAGUCAGAGAGAGCAGUGAGGAGCGGCCGCGUGUCCAUCAGGGACCAUCCUGCAAAUCUCACCUUCACAGUGACCUUGCAGAGGCUCACAGAGGAUGAUGAAGGCUCAUACGGGUGUGGGAUCGAUGCAUCGUGGCUGGGAGUUUUCCGUGACCCCGUCUUCCAGGUAGAGGUGUCUGUGUUCCCAGCACCAAAGUCAGCCCCGCCCACAAGUAUCUCUGUAGCCAAGACCUCGACCAUCACCACCUCGGCCAUCACCACCUCAGCCAUCACCACCUCGGCCAUCACCACCUCGGCCACCACCACCCUGGCCACCACCACCCCAGCCACCCCGAGUGCCACUCGCAGCACAAGCAGCCAGGAGGAACUGCAGCAGACCCGGGGCUGGGGGCUCCAAGUGCUGCUUUCCUUGUUAGCAGUUCUGCUGCUUCUGUUGGGGGGGACCUCACUGCUGGCCUGGAGAAUGGUUCAGAGACGGAUCAAAGCUGGUGAGAAUCCAGAGCCACUCCAGAACCCCAGUCAGGCUGCUGACCCCAGUGAGCCCUGCUAUGUGAAUCUGGAGCUGCAGAUGUGUCCCCUUCGGGAAGAGCCCGUGCAACGGAGCCAGGAGGAGAUGGUAUACAGCACCGUGGUGAGUACGAGGGCCUGGCUCCCAGAAUGGGAGGACCUUAAGGUGGCAGUGGGGAGAGAGGGAAGUGAGGUGCAGACUUGGUGAUCUUAUGCCUCUGCAGGACAGGGCCACACAGAAAAUGAGGCAAGUGAAGAUUUUGCCAGAGCAGAUGUCCUUAGCAGGGCUUGGUGUCAUUGUGGCUGGAGUGUGGGGUGGGAGAUGGAGGGGCUAAGGGGAUAGCCAGUGAAUAUGGUCCUGAUAGUCAAUAAAGUACAGCUUUUAUUAAGCACCUACUAUAUACCAUACAGCCAAUGUUAAAACCUGUGAUUUCUCACUGUUUUGGUUCCAUCAUCUCUUUGGUGUCACCUCUGCUUUUAAGAUUUUAAUCAACGAGCCCCUGUAGGUCAGCGCUUAGGCACAGCCACUGUAAAGUGGAGUAAUGGAAGAGGCUGCCCCCCAGGGUGGAGACCCACCUGUCAGUGGAAGAGUUCAGGCAGAGGCCAGGGGACCAGUUGGUGGAGAAGAUGGGGGAGAGACUUAAGCAUCAGACCGGGAGCUGCAUGGGGAGACCUCCAAGUCCCUUGGCCUGUGAGCCAAUCGAGCCAUCCCAGAUAUGCCGUGUGAUGCCAUGGAGGGCUGGCAUCAGGGUGACGGGUCAGCAGAGCUGCUGGUCUGUCUGGAAAAGUGGCCCAACUCGCUAGGAUAUUUCCAACCUGGCACCAUUCACCCAGGCUGCUGUUCCUGCACCAUGUGGAGGAAUGGGGGAUCCAGUCUGGCACCACUGCUGGGUCCCCGGGGCGCCCUGCCCCUGCGCGGCCUCAGGCCAGCUGUCUGGGUGAGGAUGAGGUAUGGUCUGGGAGCCCAGAGCCUGGUCCCAUUCUCCAGGGCCUCUGAGCAGCUGGCACAGCCUGGUGACACUCUGAGGGCUCCUGACCAAGUGUCUGAAGGCCCCUGCAAAGGACUAACUUAAUUCUUCCUCAUGUGAUGUUUUCUCAUGUCCACACAGCCAUGUGGCCCUGGGACUAGCAACACCUUGGUGUUCUAACUUGGUGACUCAUGAUCUCAGAAUGGAUUUGUGGCCUGGUCCUACUCCUUUGCCUUCCCCCUUGGUCCAAGCCAGGACUUGUGUCCACAGCCCAGCAAGCAGCCCCCAGGGAAGAUCUUCACUACACCUCAGUGGUAUUUGACCCCCAGAGUCAGGAUUCUGAGGCCAAUGGGAUUC